UCCAGCCCCGGGAGUCAAAACGCCAUCUGUUGAUGGGGCCCCGCCAAAGCUGACAUAGACAGGUCCAGCCUCCAGGUGCCCCCACACCGUUUUCUUGCAUUAUGAAGCUGAGCGGCUUCUUUCUACUCUCUGUGAACAUCCUCCUUUGCCUCUGAAUGACCCAGCCUGGAGUCUUGAGGAGUGCAGCUGCACGGAAACCGGGAUAUUGCCCAGAGUUUGAUCUUGACUGCCCUUUCACUCUCUUACCUAUGCGCUGGCGUGAUAAGAGUUGCAGGGGGUCAAGAAGUGUUGCUACUACAACUGUCGGCAUCAGUGUAUGGAGCCCUGGUGGACUUUGGAUUGAGAUGGAAUCUCCCUCAUUGUGUCACCCAGGCUGAAGCGCC
rnacentral:lncRNA from 1 species